UACGUAGGGUGCAAGCGUUAAUCGGAAUUACUGGGCGUAAAGCGCACGUAGGCGGCUUUGUAAGUUAGAGGUGAAAGCCCAGGGCUUAACCCUGGAAUUGCCUUUAAGACUGCAUCGCUAGAAUUGUGGAGAGGUAAGUGGAAUUCCGAGUGUAGAGGUGAAAUUCGUAGAUAUUCGGAAGAACACCAGUGGCGAAGGCGACUUACUGGACACAUAUUGACGCUGAGGUGCGAAAGCGUGGGGAGCAAACAGG
rnacentral:rRNA from 1 species